AUGAUGUGUCACCAUUGACGAAGACACGGCUUCCUGACAAGAACUUGGUGCCCAAUCAUGCUCUGCUAUGCCUGAUCAAUUGUUGGAAGGGAGAAGCAGGAGCUACUGGGCUCAUUUGCUGAGCUUUACUACCCACGGAUAUCGCAUUAGAAGCUGAUUCUGUACAGGUUUGUCUUGAUAACCUCCAUUUACUGUAGAUACCGUGGUCAAGUGAGUUCUCUGUAAGUAGCAGUUUUGCAGCAUCUCUUAGACAGUACUACAAUGUGAUAGAUCCCG
rnacentral:lncRNA from 1 species